CCUGAAAGAUCGUUCACAUUCAGGGCAUUGAUGUGACUUCUCUUGAGGUGCAGGAGGAACAUAAGAAGGAUUAUGAUACAAGUUACAGUGUCGUUUAAGAAGUUGUUUUUGUCUGAAUGAUUGAAAGCAAUGAUCACAUUGAUAUGGUUUUUGGUCAGUAUGAAUUAACAUGUGGCUUUCGAGAUGGCGCUCGGAUAUAGAAGCAUAUGGGCAUAAAUCACAUUUAUAACACUUUUCCCCUUCCCCAGUUUUUGCCACAUACCUAUCUGGGAAUGAUUUUCCACAGCGUUUACAUUUCAAAGGUUUAUCAGAGGUGUGUAAUUUUUGUACAUGAAUUCUGAGAUCUGUUUUUCUCCUACAAGUUACUGGACAUAAUUCACAUUGAAAGACUGGCUUGUUCCCAACUAUAAGAUAUAUUAUUAUAAACAGAAUAGCAAAAAAUUACAUAACAAAAUUUACAACUUUUAACAUGUAAAGUAUCAACGUACCAUUAUGUAUCAAUUUGUGAGCUUUUAAGCUGUUAGACUGGGUAAAUCUUGCUUGACAAAAAUCACACUCGUAUGGUUUUUCUCCCGUAUGUAUGCGCAAAUGGCGUUUUAGCUUGAAAGUAUCAGGACUUGCAUAUGUACAAUGCGGACACUGUAAUGUAAUAAUAAUUUUAUGGUCGUAAUCAACACUUUUUAAG
rnacentral:misc_RNA from 1 species